CAUUCCUAUCUGACUGAGAGUUGUGUUGAAAAGAUUAUACUAUAGAAUUAUAUAUAGUUGUCUCUCAACACUAGCCACAAUCUCUCUCCCUCUCUCUGUCAUGCCAAACUUCCUCUUACUUUUUGGCCAAUCCCAUCUCUAUUUUUAGUAUCUCUCUCUCUCUCUCUCUCUCUCUCUCUUGUGAAGAACAAGACCGGAGAAACCCAAAACUGGGUGACAACUAUAUGCAUUAAAAGGUUUGAAUUCCAUUUAUUACACGUGACAAAGGGAGAAAAAGAUAAAUUUGUGGAUGUCUUGAGCUUAUUUGAAUAUUUUGUUGAUUUGGGUAUAUUCAUGGGUAGGAUCAUGAAGAAUUAAAAGAGAACCCAUCUGAAAUUUGGACUUGUUUUUUCAUUUGGGUCUGCCUAACUAGACUGAUAUCUUGUAGAUUGGGUCAAAUUCAAUUGAAUGGUGUGAAUGUUGGGGUGGCUAGUGUAAUGGGGUGGUAGUUGUGAUUUAUUGGUGGAAUGAGCAUAAUAGGAUGAACAAAGUUGUUAAAAAUGGAUAAAAAGGAAGAUGCAGAAGUGCAAGAAGAGAAUUCGGCAUCACCAGUUUGGGUGUUGCAGCAUUUAUCUGCGGAGGUGGUUAGAGUGGCCGGUGAUGCACUGCAUAAUGUGUACCCAGUUAGUCCGAACUUCCAACCAUUGAGGCCGGAGCCGGGGCUGGGGCAAGGACACAGACGCAGUCAGAGUGAUGUUGUACCGAAAUUUAAUGGUCGUACUAAUAGCUUUCAGAGAUUGAAGACGCGGAUGCAGAAGGCUUGGAAAUGGGGUAGCAAUUCUCAGGAAGAAGGUAAUUGGCGGAGUUUCAAUCCUGAGGUCUUGGCAAACCAAAAACGCCAGUGGUAUCAGCUUCACUCAAAAUCUCUGGACCUCACUAAAUACAAGGAGCCUACCUCACUCUUUGAACACUUUAUUGUUGUGGGGCUUCAUCCAGAUGCUAAUCUUGAGAUUGUGGAGGAUGCAUUUGCUAAAAGGAAGAAAUGGCAGUUACAAAUGGCAAAUUCUGAAAUAUUAGAAUAUAAAAAGCUGCAGCAUCGGGCGCCUUCAAUUCCAACAUUGGAACCUCAGAUACUUUUUAGAUACCCUCCUGGAAAGAGGUUAGCCAUUCGUCUGAAGGAUCUAGCAGCCUUCUGUUUUCCUGGAGGUGUUGAGGCACGUUUGUUGGAGAGGACACCAUCACUAAGUGAGCUAAAUGAACUUAUUUAUGGACAGGAGCAUUUAGGCAGAGAUGAUUUAGCAUUUAUUUUUUCACUUAAGGUGGCAGGCAAUGCAACACUUUAUGGUGUUUGUUUACAUGUUCCUGAAAUUGUUCAAAGGUCACCUGGUAUCUUAGGCACCUCAUCACCUCUUUCUCAUUCAUCUGGAGGAUACAAGCGUUUUUUGGUUUCUGCCCCUCGUUGCUAUUGUUUGCUUACAAGACUUCCUUUCUUUGAGUUACACUAUGAGAUGUUGACCAGUAUCAUUGCUCAGGAGCGUCUGAAUCGAAUAACACAGUUUGUCAGUGAAUUGGCUCUUAAUGCUUAUGUCCCUUCAGUAACCAAAGUACAUGAUCAAAUGAAUGGGAAUGUUGACUCCCCUGAGAGGGAGUCUCUUAGUGAUUGGAUGGCUUCUGCCAUACCUGUUGAUAGUGCACUGGCCCUUACUGCUGCUGCUGCAGGAAUUUCUCAUGAUGAAUUCAUCUCACCCUCGUCAUUGAAGAUAUGGGAGCCUCACUCCCCUGAAAGUGUUACCACCAGUGAGGCUUCAGAUUUUAGCCAAGUAAAGGAAACAGACAAAGAUAGUAGUAAGAAUUCACAAAAUUUUGAAGAAUGUACUUUUGAGGCCUCAGAAACUUGUUCGCAACCUUCGGAAAGAAUGUGUGGAUGCUUUGAAAAUGAUCAAAUUUCUCCAGAGGUCAGGACAUCAUUCACCUCUAGGAAUCUUGCACUGGGGCAUCUUGGGAGUUCUGAAUCCCUAUUCAGUCCAGUUAGAAGCAUGGAAUCAGAGGAUUAUGAUGAUGAAAUUUUUGCGAAUUGUGAUAAAGCUUUUGGGGAUGACCUAAUAAUGGAAUGGGCCAAGGAGAAUAAAAACGAUUUGCUACAGAUAGUUUGUGGAUAUCAUGCUCUGUCUCUUCCCCCAAGAGGAAGUGAACUACUUUUCCAGCCUCUUGAGCAUUUACAGGCUAUUGUGUAUAUGCGGCCUCCACUUGCUGCCCUUGGCUUUCAUGAAAAUAAUUUAGAUUCCCUUGAAGUUGCUGAGGUUGAUGCGAAGUUGGCUGCUGCUGAGGAAGCUUUUGCGCUAUCCAUAUGGACAACUGCAACAAUUUGUCGAGCGCUCUCCCUCGAAAGUGUUUUGUCAUUGGUUGCAGGUGUAUUAUUGGAAAAACAAGUGCUGGUAGUGUGCCCAAAUCUGGGUGUUCUAUCAGCUGUAGUGUUAUCCCUUGUUCCCUUGAUUCGCCCAUUCCAGUGGCAGAGUUUAUUGCUUCCUGUUUUACCAGGCAGGAUGCUUGAUUUUCUUGAUGCACCAGUUCCUUAUAUUGUUGGCAUUCAAUAUAAACCAGUUGAUUUGAAGAUGAAAGCAUCAAAUGUUGUUCAUGUUAACGUUCUCAAAGACGAGGUGAAAAUGUGUCACCUGCCUGCACUUCCCCGGCAUAAAGAGCUUGUUUCUGAACUGGGGCCAAUCCAUGCUAGAUUGUCACGUGAAAGUUCGAUUGCUAAAAGGCAUCCUGUUUAUAGGUGCAGCGAUGUGCAGGCUGAAGCUGCAGCUGAGUUUUUGAAUGUUAUGAGAUGCUACUUGGAGUCACUUUGUUCAGACCUGAAGUCUCAUGCAAUAACUUGUGUACAAUCAAACAAUGACAGGGUUUCUUUACUUCUUAAAGAUAGCUUUAUUGAUUCCUUUCCUAGUAGGGACCGACCUUUUAUGAAGCAAUUUGUAGACACACAACUGUUCUCUGUUCUGUCAGACACUCAUUUGUCCAGCUUUGAGAACGGGUACAGUUAACAUAAUCCCAUUAGAAUUGCCAUGCAUCAGUACAUAAUUCCUUGGUGCAAAUGGAGAUCCAUCAGACUAAUGAUUAAUUUUGAAGGAUAAUGGUUCUCUCACUGUUGGUGAUGACCCCUCAAUGAAUUUUGUCAAUCCAAUGGUUUGGAGCCAUCAACUAUGAACUGCCAUAUUGCUGAAGCUUCUGACAACGAGUUUCUAACUAAUGUUUUAAGUAUAAUCUCAAAUACUACACACCAAUAUCUGUUGUGCAGUCUAGCAGAAAGGAUCAUUAUCCCAAUCUUUUAUGGUGGAUCUGAUGCUGGGCUUAUUAUAGAUGCAAGACGAAGUUGAUUUAACUAUAUUAAAUGCCAAAGACAGCUUCACAUCUUAUAUGCGUGUGUGGCUUCACCAUAUUCUCACUUUUUUUUAUUUUUUUUACCAAUACAUCAAUUUAUGUAUCUUAUACCAUGAGUUUUGUCCAGUCCAUUGGGCCAGUAGCCUUCAUCAUCAGCUGUUAGUUCUUGCAAUCUAGCCUUUUUCUUCUAUUAUUGUUAUUUCAGUCAAUGGGUGCAGGCUGACAAGUUAAGUUCAGUCAAACAGUAUGGAUCUAUAUACGCGUGUAUGUGUAAAUGAAUUGAGUAACAACUUGGUUUCAACUCAAGAAAAAGUUUCUUUAUGUUCGUUUAUUUUGCAAUUAAGUCUGUUGUUCCAGUUCAACUCAAGGAAAAGUUUGUUUAUGUUCGUUUGUUUUGCAAGUAAGUCCAGGUCAUGUGUUUG